rnacentral:misc_RNA from 1 species
CAGAAAGCAGGAACUGAAG